ACGACAAGAACGGGCCUCCCGUUCACCGCGUCGUGGCCGUGGCCAAACUGGACUCGUACGACCGGGACCCGAACCUCAACGCGGUGGAGGCCCUGGUGAGCACCAAGUCCGGGCACCCGAAGAUCACCUCCAUCUCGCUCAAGUACGACGAGGACCCGGGCAAGUCCAACUUCAAGCCCUCAACUUCUCGAGCCGCUUGAGCAAGCCGCCGGCCCCGGCUCCCGAACUCGUCCCCGUGCCGACCCCCAAAGUGAAGAACCCCGCCAAGCUCAGCCCGGAGAACGACCGGAUACCGGAUUGUCUCGUCUCCGAUUGAAAGAGUCGAAUGAAAACGACGCGAUUCCGAUCCCCGUCAUCGUGGAGCGGAAGUCGGCGACCGAGAUCCGGAAACAAGAAGAGAAACGAAGAAGAAAGUACUAAAGAGCGUGCCAGUGACGAAGAUGCCGACCCGACAACCGGCAGUUCCACCGCGGAAAGUGGGACCCUCGAGGAAGAUGGAGGAGGUCUCUGCCCUGAGGCACCGAUCGCUGUCCCCGACGCACGAGAGCAGCUUCGCGCCGCUCGUGCCGCGGGCGACCAAGUCCCAGGAGAAGGUCAUCCGGCCGGAGCUCAAACCCGUGGACACGCGGGUCCGACGGGAGCGAUUGGAGAGGAGGGUGGAGACAAGUCAGAGACGGAGUAUAUUCGACAGUGGCCGGGACAGCUGGCUCAACGCACCUAAAGGGACCGCAGGAGUCAAAGGCAGCCCGAGGGGAGGGAUAGGCGCACGAAGAAAGAAGAGCCGAGGACAAGGUUAGACUCAGGCGAUUCAAUCUUGGAAGAACUGACGAAAGCGGCCGACGAGAUCCUGUUGGCGGUCAACGGGUGCACGGACGACGAGUCCCGCGCCAGCAGCGACGACGAAGGCAAGCCCACGAAACAGCCCGCGCCAGCGCCGGCCCCGCUGGCAGCCAUCGCGGAAAACCCUCCCACGCGGCGCCUCCGGACGGCCGAGCGCUCCGAGGCCCGCCUCAAGUCCCGCGCUAAGCCCACGGCGGAGCCCACCAAGCCCACAGAACCCUCCCGAGCCGCCCGCACCGUGGACGAACGGAACCGGAGGCGACUCGCCCGCGUGUCGCUCAACCGUGGACACGUCGCUUCCUCGUCCGAGGACAUCGAGUCGGCCGCCGAGAACGCCGCCAACGCCAAGAUGAAGAGGGUUGUCAGGAGGGUCGUCAAGUCGCAGCCCACCAGGGAUCCUGUUUCCAGCAGCCAUAAACCAAGGGAAAGGGUUUAUCGAGUGGAUCACCCGGAGGAAGAGAAGAAAAUCGUAAGAUCGUCAACAAGAGAGAACGGACUUCGGAAAGUAGACUACCUCUCGUCCUCGGCGCACAGACGGAAGAGAACCAGCGAGACCGUAGCCAAGCCUGAAGAUCUCAGAAAUUCCAACGUCAGUCAUUUAGACAGCCGUAAGGAGUCUCACCGAACGGUUAGAGGAUCCUCACAUGGUCAAAAAUGUGAUUCUCGGAUCAAGAUUGUAUCAUCAAGCAAUAAAAGUCGCAUAAUACCUUCAUCAAAAUGAAACUGUAUAAUUAAAACUAGUCACCUCAAGGUCUGAUAGUCAGCUAUGUGCGUGUCUGAUUUUCUUCGUUGAAGCACCCGACUUCUUAUCUAAUUAUCUGCCCCCCCCUCUCCCCACAUUCUCCCGUUGGGGUGUGUUUUCAGUGCUAAAAGUUAGAAUAAACUGUCUUUAGUCUUUGAAACUUGCAAAAGAAUUGAAACUGACUGGUACUAAAUUAAAUUCUACUAAGUACUCUAAAAACUUCUGAAGUCCCUCAUUUAUAUAUUGUUGUUCUAGUUGUUCUGUAAAUCCAUGAAGCUUAUUUAUUAAUUUAUUUCUAACUAAUAGCAUGUCCUGUUUUGGAAAAAUUCAGAGACAUUUUAUUUCUAAUUCGGAAGUCAUGAUUAAUAGCGCAGUUAUAUGGACAUAUACAUCCCCUCCCCCCUUAAAAACUGCAUUAAAACUUGAAAACUAUUAAGGACCGUCCUGUGUUCUUUAGAUAACUUUAAGUUCUAUAAUAGGUAAACUCUCCUGGACAGAGGUAAGCGAACUUCCUGUAAAAGUAGAUAUUUGCUGUUUUCACAGAAGUUGUGGAAUGCAUGGAUUUAUUUACAUCACGGUUGUACCAACAUAGAAACACAUAGCGCAUUAUUACUUAUCUCCCAUAAAAAAAUUUCCCUUAUUAUGAAGCCAAUAGUUAUGCAAUAUGAUUUUUUUUCUUCUGGUGUACAGAACUGCUGACCAUGAGACAUAAAUCAAAAGAAAAUGAAGCCUUUUAGCCAUAAGUACUUACCUAUCUCUCGUGUCAUUGAACACGAAGAAAAAUCUGUACCGCUGAAGAUGAGAAAAAAACUUAGUUUGUUUGCCUAUUUUUGUAUGUAGUAUUUAUGGACUCACAUUCAAUCGCCAUAAAUUGUAAAUACCUAUUUCUUUUUUCCCUUUUUUUACUGUUCAUUGUUUAAGUGUUAUUAAUUCGCUCAUCUGCUGUUCAAAUACAGAUUAUUUUUUUACUAAUUGAAACAAAGUUGUAGAUUUUUUCCUGUUCCACUAAAAACAUAUUUACUUAAAAUUAUGUAAAAAUUGAGAAGCUUCCCGAGGGAAGGGCCCAAAAAGUUCACACGCUCUUUUUUUGGAACUUUGUCGUACUUGGAUUCAGCGUAUCUGUUGUAUGCGCGUGCAAAAUUGCAGCUCAAUUCGUGAAUUUUUUGAGCCGGGAGAUUUCCGUUAACACGAUUUAUUGCCAUCAGUUUCUACUCAAAUCCUGAAAAAUCAAUAAAUUUGUAACCUACCCACAUGAAAAGGGACCUUAGUGAUGGAAAAUCAAAAUUAAGUUCCUGUCAUUUGAGUUCAGAAGACUGUUCCUCAAACGCUCAGGGGCAAAUACUCCAAAAACUGUGAAACCAAAGUCGAGAGUUUGGUUAGCCACAAAACAAGCCAAUUUGAGGUUCAGAUUACUUUUUUCAGAAUUGGACACACUCUUUCCAGUUACAACCUCAUUAUCUGUGAAGAGGAUGAGCGCUCGACAUGACUGCAUUUAAAUGGUUUGUCAUUGGGUUUAGAAUAAAACAUGAGUUUUUCAGGUAUAACUGCCGGCAUGGAUUUUUGGCCCCACAGUUUUUGGAGUUUUUGUCUCCGAGCAUUUGUGGAACAGUUUUCUAGACUCAAGAGACGAGAACUGAAUUUUGACUUUCCACGCACCAAUUGCUCUAGGGUCCCUUUUUAUUUGGAUGGACCCAAAUUUACUGAUUUUUCAGGAUUGGAGUAGAAACUGGUAAAUCGUGUUUAACGGAAAAUAUCAUUCGAAGUUACUAUGCCGAAGAUAUCGAUUUUUUUACAUGGGUACGUUGAGGUGACACAUUAAAAUUUUUGCCGAGUUAAGAGGUGGACAGGUGCUUAUUUGCAUGAUCUCACCCGAGUAGGUAUUAUAUUUUCAGAAAAACUGAAAAAACUUAGAAAGGCAAUUAUUCUCCGCAACUACUGAAGAAACUCCAAUUUUUAUUACAAUUUUACAUCGAGUGUCUUGCGUGAUGUGCCAUUCCUCGGAGACAAAAAAAAUAAUAAUUAUAGUGAAGGCGACAGACUUGUUAAGUAAAACUGCGUCACACAGCAUGCCGAUGACCAAAGUACGAUACCACUUAUCUCCAUCACGGUGCUUCAAAAUCUCCACUCCUCGCUUAUUUUUCGAAGAAGAACAAGUCAACUUUAUAGCUUGAAGUUUAUACACAAUAUUACUACAGUCUACAAUACUUCAAUAUUAUUUACAAUAAUAAUUGUGUUUAAUUAUUAUAAUUUACAAUAGUAUUUUUUAAUAUUAUCUAUUAACAGAGAAGAAAAAUCGAGGGAGUUUUCAAGAAAUUACGUUGACUAGUUUCUCAAGGAAAAAAUAAAAUAUGAAUGGAAGUUUACAACGUCGCAAACGGAAAUAUGUGGUCUCGCACUCAAACCAUCGAUAAAGACCAUGAAAUAACGAUAACAGUCUACCGAAUACUGAGAAAAACAGCCAAUCUAGAGUCUAGGAAGUCUUGACCUCUGGCGUUCACUUUCUCAUUAGUUUUUUUUACACUUAAUUGCUUUUACGUAUAUGUCGGACUAAUCACUAAAAACAGCGUGAUGCGCCUAUUUUUUGUGAAUUUAAGAGUGAAAAAGCCAUAUUUCGUCAGAGAACCAACUAUAAUUUUCUUUUUAUAUAAUUUUC
rnacentral:lncRNA from 1 species